GGCUCGCGGCCUAUCAGCUUGUUGGUGGGGUGAUGGCCUGCCAAGGCUUUGACGGGUAGCCGGCCUGAGAGGGUGGGCGGUCACACUGGGACUGAGAUACGGCCCAGACUCCUACGGGAGGCAGCAGUGGGGAAUAUUGCACAAUGGGCGGAAGCCUGAUGCAGCGACGUCGCGUGAGGGAUGGAGGCCUUCGGGUUGUGAACCUCUUUCGCCAGUGAGGAAGGCCUUGCCCGUGUGGUGGGGUUGACGGUAGCUGGGUUAAUUGAAGCGCCGGCUAACUACGUGCCAGCAGCCGCGGUAAUACGUAGGGCGCGAGCGUUGUCCGGAAUUAUUGGGCGUAAAGGGCUUGUAGGCGGUUGGUCGCGUCUGCCGUGAAAUCCUCUGGCUCAGCUGGGGGCGUGCGGUGGGUACGGGCUGGCUUGAGUGCGGUAGGGGAGGCUGGAACUCCUGGUGUAGCGGUGGAAUGCGCAGAUAUCAGGAGGAACACCGGUGGCGAAGGCGGGUCUCUGGGCCGUUACUGACGCUGAGGAGCGAAAGCGUGGGGAGCGAACAGGAUUAGAUACCCUGGUAGUCCACGCUGUAAACGUUGGGCACUAGGUGUGGGGGGUCUUUCCGGGUCCUCCGCGCCGUAGCUAACGCAUUAAGUGCCCCGCCUGGGGAGUACGGCCGCAAGGCUAAAACUCAAAGGAAUUGACGGGGGCCCGCACAAGCGGCGGAGCAUGCGGAUUAAUUCGAUGCAACGCGAAGAACCUUACCAAGGCUUGACAUGUGCCGGUUGUCCUUCGGAGACGGGGGGUCCUCCCUUUGCGGGGGUCGGUUCACAGGUGGUGCAUGGUUGUCGUCAGCUCGUGUCGUGAGAUGUUGGGUUAAGUCCCGCAACGAGCGCAACCCUUGUCCCGUGUUGCCAGCACGUCGUGGUGGGGACUCGCGGGAGACUGCCGGGGUUAACUCGGAGGAGGGUGGGGAUGACGUCAAAUCAUCAUGCCCCUUAUGUCUUGGGCUUCACGCAUGCUACAAUGGCCGGUACAGUGGGUUGCGAUGUCGUGAGGCGGAGCGAAUCCCUUAAAGCCGGUCUCAGUUCGGAUCGGUGUCUGCAACUCGACACCGUGAAGCUGGAGUCGCUAGUA
rnacentral:rRNA from 1 species